CAUUUCUUCAAGCCCGGCUUGUGUGUUGAGCAUCUGUUCUCUUGAUGGACAUGCUUGAAAUGCAGUGGCAAUGCUGCAUCCGGUAGCCCAAGCAUUAUAGGCCCAAUCUGCUUUGUUGGCUCCAGUCAGCAUUUUAGCCUCCAAACCCUUGACCUUAGCUAA
rnacentral:misc_RNA from 1 species